GACGUAGGAUGCAAGCGUUGUCCGGAAUUAUUGGGCGUAAAGAGUUCGUAGGCGGUUAUCUAAGUCUGGUGUUAAAGCCCGAAGCUCAACUUCGGCAUGGCAUUGGAAACUGGGUAGCUAGAGUGUGGUAGAGGUAUCGGGAAUUCCUGGUGUAGCGGUGAAAUGCGUAGAUAUCAGGAGGAACACCGGCGGCGAAAGCGCGAUACUGGGCCAUAACUGACGCUGAGGAACGAAAGCUCGGGGAGCAAACAGG
rnacentral:rRNA from 1 species